AUUGGAGUAGUUUAUAAAAAAAAUGUUAGUUUGUGGUACUAGAGAAAUAAGGUUUUAUCUCUGAUC
rnacentral:tRNA from 1 species